UUUAUAUGAGAGUUUGAUCCUGGCUCAGGAUGAACGCCGGCGGUGUGCCUAAUACAUGCAAGUCGUACGCACUGGCCCAACUGAUUGAUGGUGCUUGCACCUGAUUGACGAUGGAUCACCAGUGAGUGGCGGACGGGUGAGUAACACGUAGGUAACCUGCCCCGGAGCGGGGGAUAACAUUUGGAAACAGAUGCUAAUACCGCAUAACAGCAAAAGCCACAUGGCUUUUGCUUGAAAGAUGGCUUUGGCUAUCACUCUGGGAUGGACCUGCGGUGCAUUAGCUAGUUGGUAAGGUAACGGCUUACCAAGGCGAUGAUGCAUAGCCGAGUUGAGAGACUGAUCGGCCACAAUGGAACUGAGACACGGUCCAUACUCCUACGGGAGGCAGCAGUAGGGAAUCUUCCACAAUGGGCGCAAGCCUGAUGGAGCAACACCGCGUGAGUGAAGAAGGGUUUCGGCUCGUAAAGCUCUGUUGUUGGAGAAGAACGUGCGUGAGAGUAACUGUUCACGCAGUGACGGUAUCCAACCAGAAAGUCACGGCUAACUACGUGCCAGCAGCCGCGGUAAUACGUAGGUGGCAAGCGUUAUUCGGAUUUAUUGGGCGUAAAGCGAGCGCAGGCGGUUGCUUAGGUCUGAUGUGAAAGCCUUCGGCUUAACCGAAGAAGUGCAUCGGAAACCGGGCGACUUGAGUGCAGAAGAGGACAGUGGAACUCCAUGUGUAGCGGUGGAAUGCGUAGAUAUAUGGAAGAACACCAGUGGCGAAGGCGGCUGUCUGGUCUGCAACUGACGCUGAGGCUCGAAAGCAUGGGUAGCGAACAGGAUUAGAUACCCUGGUAGUCCAUGCCGUAAACGAUGAGUGCUAGGUGUUGGAGGGUUUCCGCCCUUCAGUGCCGGAGCUAACGCAUUAAGCACUCCGCCUGGGGAGUACGACCGCAAGGUUGAAACUCAAAGGAAUUGACGGGGGCCCGCACAAGCGGUGGAGCAUGUGGUUUAAUUCGAAGCUACGCGAAGAACCUUACCAGGUCUUGACAUCUUGCGCUAACCUUAGAGAUAAGGCGUUCCCUUCGGGGACGCAAUGACAGGUGGUGCAUGGUNACUAGUUGCCAGCAUUAAGUUGGGCACUCUAGUGAGACUGCCGGUGACAAACCGGAGGAAGGUGGGGACGACGUCAGAUCAUCAUGCCCCUUAUGACCUGGGCUACACACGUGCUACAAUGGACGGUACAACGAGUCGCAAGCUCGCGAGAGUAAGCUAAUCUCUUAAAGCCGUUCUCAGUUCGGACUGUAGGCUGCAACUCGCCUACACGAAGUCGGAAUCGCUAGUAAUCGCGGAUCAGCAUGCCGCGGUGAAUACGUUCCCGGGCCUUGUACACACCGCCCGUCACACCAUGGGAGUUUGUAACGCCCAAAGUCGGUGGCCUAACCUUUAUGGAGGGAGCCGCCUAAGGCGGGACAGAUGACUGGGGUGAAGUCGUAACAAGGUAGCCGUAGGAGAACCUGCGGCUGGAUCACCUCCUUUCUA
rnacentral:rRNA from 1 species